GAUGAACGCUGGCGGCGUGCCUAAUACAUGCAAGUCGAGUGAACGGACGAGAAGCUUGCUUCUCUGAUGUUAGCGGCGGACGGGUGAGUAACACGUGGAUAACCUACCUAUAAGACUGGGAUAAAUUCGGGAAACCGGAGCUAAUACCGGAUAAUAUUUUGAACCGCAUGGUUCAAAAGUGAAAGACGGUCUUGCUGUCACUUAUAGAUGGAUCCGCGCUGCAUUAGCUAGUUGGUAAGGUAACGGCUUACCAAGGCAACGAUGCAUAGCCGACCUGAGAGGGUGAUCGGCCACACUGGAACUGAGACACGGUCCAGACUCCUACGGGAGGCAGCAGUAGGGAAUCUUCCGCAAUGGGCGAAAGCCUGACGGAGCAACGCCGCGUGAGUGAUGAAGGUCUUCGGAUCGUAAAACUCUGUUAUUAGGGAAGAACAUAUGUGUAAGUAACUGUGCACAUCUUGACGGUACCUAAUCAGAAAGCCACGGCUAACUACGUG
rnacentral:rRNA from 1 species